CGCCAAGCAGCUUCUGCUCCCCAAGAUUGCACAAACCAGCAAGGUUCCUGCAGUGAGGCUCUUGGGAUUUCUGAAGCAGAACUGGACAUACCCUUUCUAGAGCUAUUGGAGUAAUCAUAUAAGAUGAUCACCGGAAGUAAAGGCUUACAAGGGCUCAUCCUGUGAGAAGGUGACUGGUGACUCUGACCUCUGCCAGAUUUUCACAACUCCAUCCCCAGAGAUGUAAAAACUCUUCAAUCCAACACCAACUUUAGAUGUCCUCGUAACUACCUCGCUCCCUGGAGUACCCUGUGAAUGAAAGGCCUUUUCUGUGCCCUCUGUACUAAAGAAUGAUGUUUUCUGGCACUUCCCUCUCAUGGCAUGACCUGAAGGGUUUGGGCUGCUGCAUUUCAAGCAGCCAAAUUUGACUGGAAGAAACAUCUCAGUACUCUGUGAAGAUCAGCCCCUAUAAAAUAUCUGACUUUUCUCCUUUGGUUAGGAAAGAAGAUUCAUACUUCAUUAUUUCUCUAUUUCAUGCUUUGGUACCAAAGACUCUGCCAAGCUUUCUGAAGGAAAUUUAUCCACUGCUCAGAAAGUGUUCAACUUUAUUGGAAGCAAGACCUACACAAAUCAUCUUCUCAGGUUUGAUCUAGAAAUCAUAGCAUGAAGUUCUUCAUCACCACACCAAAGUGUAUCAUUAACUGUGAAGAAGUGUUAUUAUAAUAAAAGAAGAGGAGAGUUUACUCUCAAAGCCAUUUGAAAAAGAGAGACUGACCAAUGGCCAAUUUUCUUAGAAGAUAUUUUAUAAGGUCUUCUGUAAUUUAAAGGGAAGUCAUUAAAUCAGUCUCUUCUGAAACCAUUAGAGACAUUAAAAAAAUCCUAAGAUUAUUGACCAUAUUUUUCCACAGUGUUAGAUAUCAGAAACCGAAAUAUAUGUAAACUUUCCAGAGUUCAAAAACCGUUUCUGUCAAGUGGUAGGUAAGGUAAUGAAGCCGUGUCUAUUUCUCCUCAAGCAGAAAUGUAUAAAACUUGUAAAUGUGGAACAAUUUUACUUCUAUUCAGACUAAAUUAAAAAUGGAUUACACCAUUUUCUUUUUAUCUACGUAAAUCAUAUCCAUGAGACGUGUCAGACUUCCAGACAAAGUUGUGUAACAGAAAUUCAUGGCCAAGAAUUACAGUCUAAUUUCCUUCACGUAAGUCUUCAUCAAGCAAAGUGACCCAUGGGAAAUGUGUGAACUAGCUUCUCCUAUGUGUGUAAGAGUUUACACUGCACUUGCUAUCAUCAAAAUGUCUGGUUAAAAUUCACUUGAUUUCCAAGUGCUAGAUAAUGGGACCAGCAGAUGGCAUAACGGUUAACAUCGCUGGAUUCCUCCAUAGUUCACCACCAGAGUCCCAGACCCAGCAACUUAAAACUCACUCCAG